GACGAACGCUGGCGGCGUGCUUAACACAUGCAAGUCGAACGAAGUGGCGAACGGGUGAGUAAUACGUGGGUAACUGCCCUCCUUUUUGGGAUAAGCCUUGGAAACGGGGUCUAAUACCGAAUAAAGGGGGAUGGGCUCGCGGCCUAUCAGCUUGUUGGUGGGGUGAUGGCCUACCAAGGCGGUGACGGGUAGCCGGCCUGAGAGGGGACCGGCCACAUUGGGCUGAGAUACGGCCCAGACUCCUACGGGAGGCAGCAGUAGGGAAUCUUCGGCAAUGGGGGGAACCCUGAUGCAGCAACGCCGCGUGCGGGAUGACGGCCUUCGGGUUGUAAACCGCUUUCAGCCAUGACGCGGUACCGGAAUAGAAAGCCACGGCUAACUACGUGCCAGCAGCCGCGGUAAUUC
rnacentral:rRNA from 1 species